CUAGACUCUCCAUCUGGGAAUUCUCCCUCUCGGAAAGCAGCCACCACACUGUGAAGAAGCCAAAGCCUCAUGGAGGAUACAUAUGCUCCCUCUUCAGACACUUUCUUUCAGAACCCAGCUGGUAUGCAGUGAGAAACCCAAGCUAUAUGGAGAAGUCACAUGCUGACUCCAGUCAACAGUCCCAGUGAAGACCAGCCUUUGAGUCAUCACAGCCAUCUCAUGAGACAUGUGAAUGAAGAAGCUUCCAGAUGAUUCCAGCCUCCAGCCAUAUACAGCCACACUGCGUGUCAGGGUUUCAACUUAUGAAUUUGAGGGGGACCUGAUUCAGUCCAAAGCGUGUGGAAAGGAUCCCAAAGGUGAGCAGAGCAGUUUGAGCAGAGCUUAGCAAGGACAACUCGUUUCAACUCUACAUGGUAUCAUCUGUGAUGGCUUGACUGGCAAGUGGAGAAUCCACAUUUACGAAUCCACUAUCCUCCAUGGAGACAGACACCACCAAGGACAAGCACCUGGAUUAUCUCUUCCCCACAACGAGACACAGGCUGGUGGGAAAGCUGCUGACCAGCAAGUUCAUGGGCUCCCUCCUCUCUGCAAGUGUCUCAAGGCCAAAACCAGGCUGGUGGGAAAGCUCCGACCAGCAAGGCCAUAUGCUCCCCCUCCCCUACCUAAAACCCCAAAUAAAAACCCUUCCUUUUAGCUUUUUGGGGAGUUUGGGAUUUCAGCGUUAGCUGCACUCUCUCCUUGCUCAGAGCUGUGCAAAAAUAAAAUUCCUACUUUCUUCCACCACACCCGGUGUCAGAGACUGGCUUGCUGUGCAACGGGUGAGCAAACUCACUUCAGGUUCGGUGUCAUAAAUGUUCCUUGUUUGAAGAAGAAACCAGAAAGUUGUCAGUGCCCAUCACUUCUCCAAAGGGCCUCUUCUUUUCCUUGCCUGUGAUGAGAUGUCAAGGUCAUGAAAUAGUUCUGUCCACACUUCCUGAUUUUCAGUUUCUAAGAUACACAAGUCAUGGUUGAGCAAGUGUUACUCCUUAGCAAUCCUCGUGACUUAGCGCUGUCAAUUCUUCCCUCUAGAGAGAAGAUGCCAACUGUCCCAUUGUUGUGCCUUUAAAAGUUAUUGUCAAAAUUAUUUGCAAUGUCUACCAGUUGAAUGUUUAUUCAACUUUAGAUUGUACGUCUUUUAGAAUUAUAUUAACCUGAAAAAUCAUUUGGCUGUUACAUACGAUUUAGAACUUGAAUAUUCUGAAUAGUAGAACCAC
rnacentral:lncRNA from 1 species